GAUACACACUUUUAGAUGCUACACCCUGGAUUAGCCCAUCACACUCGUUGCCUGACUUGGUGUUCUACUCUCUUCAUGCUCUGAAUGGUGAUCCCUAACAGUACCGCCUAAGAGAACUUUCAGCAACGAUGGAAACUUCUAUGUGUGCCCCUCCAAUAUAGCAGCCUUUUGCCACAUGUAGCUGUCGAGUACUUGAAAUGUGGCUAGAGUAAUGGAGGAACUAAAUUUUUAUUUUCACUUACUUUUAAUUAACUUAAAAUUCAAUUAAAUAGUCAUAUGUGGCUGAUGGCUACUGUAUGGGGUGGCACAGAUCUGUAACUUACGGGGCCAAUGAAUGAUCAUAUCCCUGCAUGGAGCGGAGGAAAGCUUCUAAGACAGCAUAGUGGCUCAAAAUAAUAUGUGUCUGACAAAAAGAAUAGUUGUUAUAAGGACUCCAAUUUUCAAAACUAUCUUAAGAUUUUGAUUUUCUAUGACUUGCAACUUAACACAUCUCUUCAAUAUGGCAUUGCAUCCUGUCACCAGAAAUAGAAACAGAAUUCGGUUUUCUCCAUGGAACACACUCCUUUACCUUUCUGGGACUCGGUUUUCUCGUCUGUAAAAUGAAGUGUUGGACUUCAUUAGAUCGUGUUUCGAUUUCUUUUCAGCUGCGGGGACUGGAAGCAAAUUUACAUGCACUGCUGGGAGGCACUUGCAUGUUUGAUUUCAAGUCUCAUCUGUGAAUUCCUGUCUCAUCAUCAGGAUCUCUCCAACAGGGAUGGAGGUAGAAGGAUGCCUGAAUUUAUCUGAAGCCACGUUGAGAUAUCCUGAUAACUGAUUUAGAAAUAGUUCUCACUGGACUGACACACUGAAGUCGACCCCUGGUUCACACCAGCCACCUGCCCCUUCAUUCCUCCAGUCCAUCUGCCAUAAAGUCAGCACUGCAAUACAGUAAUAGAAAUCUUUAGAGAAACCAUCUGCUGCCUAAUAUUCUCUAUCAUCAGCCAAGGUUAUAAGCGUUGCCUUUACAUUGUGUGGCCUGGGACCUCGAAGACACAGGUUCAAAUAAUAUAACAUCAUCAUCAUCAUCAUCAUGGCCCUCAGAACCACAAGAUUCAAAUAGUUUUUCACCAAUAAGGUGAAAGAGUGUAAUACACUCCUUUUUCCUCCUCCCUUUCCCACCAUUCAACCAAAUCCAGUCCUGGAUCAAAGAUUCUGGAAAAUAUCACUCUCUUUAAGCUUUAACCAACUCGGAAUGGAAAUGCAGCCAGGACUCAAAAUAAAUUAUGCAGAGAUAUUGACUAUAAUGGAAUAGGAAUGUGGAAUGACAAGUAAUAGAAAUGUGUAUGCUAUAGGGCUAGUUGAAAGUGUUUAAGGUAAUCAUUACUCAAUGAGGAAUUAAAGGAGUGAAAAGAAAUCUAUUUUUCCACAUGUUGCUAAAUGGCAAAGAUUUCUUUAGUGUUUGCCAUUUAGUACUUCUAAUUCUAUAAUAAUUACAAAUUUAGAGUAUA